GGGGGUAGGCACUUAGUCCAAAACCCCAUAGGAAGCCACCCAAACUCAUGUUUGAUCCAGAGACUCCAGGAGGCAUAGUCGGGUGUGGCCAAGGACUCGACUCGGAGUGUGGAACCAGGGAGGGACUACAGAAUUACUAACAGCAAAGACUGCCCUUGAAUCUCCUUGGAAGAGACUAUACCAGUUCCUCCUCACUACUCAAACGGCAGUCAGACUCCAGGCACUUGAGCCUUGAGCCUACAUUUUGCAGCUGAGAAAGACUCCACCUGUACAAAUGCUGAAGACCUCUUAUCAAACGACUAGGAUGAGAUGCAGCUGACAUCGAGGUUGACCGCUUCCUCCCAAGACACUGGAUCAAGACUUCAUGCUUUAAACCUGAAAACCUUACCUCUUCCUUUCUUUCCUUUACUCUGACAUUGGCCUGGAAAGAACACCAUCAUCUAUAUCUCCCAGGCCAUUGCUAAGGGAGGGUAACACUUCAGACUGCUAGACCCGUAAUCAAAAACUCUAAUAUAUAUGCUAGAGACCCCCUGGUCUGUUUCCCUGUCUCUGGUUAAGAGCUUCAAACUUGGGGAACUUUGUAUCCAGGUUCUAUGCAAAGAAAGGGACACAAGGCAAGGGUAACCAGAAUAAAACUGCCUGCCUGAGCCACAGAGUCAAACAGGAGUUACCAGGAGGCAUUCAGGAUUCAGGAUUCGCUUCCACUAGCAGAACCCUACUGCCCUGGUUAGAAGUAAAUGUAAGUGAGGCUAUGACGAGAAACCUCUCCUUAACUCUUGAAAGUAUUGCAGAAUCUGCUGCUAAAGCAAUAAGCUGCCUAACAAAAAUUCUUAGACUCUCUGGCCAAAGUUGUUCUUGAUAACAGGAUAGCCCUUGAUUAUCUUUUAGCUGAGCAAGGAGGUGUCUGUGCUAUGGCCCGCACCACCGGCGGCACCUGGAUUAACACUCUGGGGAAGUCGAAAGUCAGUUACAUAAAAUCAUUUAAGCCACUCUGCUUAAAAAGGUGACUCCUUCAAAAGGGUGUUUCUGUGAUUUGUUUGAUUUUGAGUGGCUUGGGUCUUGGGGACCAUGACUCC
rnacentral:lncRNA from 1 species